GGCUAGUCCCUGGGGCUUCCCUGAGCCAGUACAGAGGUUCGCAUGUGCGGACAUGCCAAGGAGACCAGAUCUGGGUCAGAAGCAAUAACAGCAAGUUUAACCUCCUAAUUUCAGUUCAUGGAAGCGACCAGAGAAUUCUCAAGACCUAGUUCUAUCCAAUUCCUUUUCCCCAAAUCACAUGAAUGUGAUGUUCCAGGAAAUGCACGGAGCACAUCUUUGCUACAGAAUUGCAGCAUUUCUGAGUUCUAAUUUCGGGAAUCAAUUCUGCAAGGACACAGAAGAGUACACCCACUGCACGCCUGUUGUUGAAGUAUUAUGGUGGAAAGCAAAGACGGUAAGCCAAAAUAACUUAUGCAUCAUCAGCCUGGUCAUGGUUUUCUCCAUAAGGCCAUAGUAUGCAUUACCCUUUGCAGCUGCUACAAAGCCAAAGACCUAAGGACCAAAGAGACAAAGCGACUUUCCCAAGAUCUUACAGCGGCUACAGUGUGAAGCUGAGUAAACUAGAGGCGCGUCUCUUGACUUGGGGUAGCAUUCUGUCUACAACACUGUCAGCCCAGCGGCAGAAAUACCCACGCAAAAGGAUAUCGGUUAA